rnacentral:rRNA from 1 species
GAUGAACGCUAGCGGCAGGCCUAAUACAUGCAAGACGAACGGUAAGUUUGAUAGCAAUAUUGAACCUAGAGUGUCGUAAGGGUGCGUAACACGUAUGCAAUCUACCCUCAACAGGAGGAUAGCUCCCCGAAAGGGGAAUUAACACUCCAUAAGAUCACAGGAUGGCAUCAUUCAGUGAUUAAAACUCCGGUGGUUGAGGAUGAGCAUGCGCAUGAUUAGUUAGUUGGCGGGGUAAUGGCCCACCAAGACGAUGAUCAUUAGGGGAACUGAGAGGUUGAUCCCCCACACUGGCACUGAGAUACGGGCCAGACUCCUACGGGAGGCAGCAGUAGGGAAUAUUGGACAAUGGGUGCGAGCCUGAUCCAGCCAUGCCGCGUGCAGGAAGACGGCCUUCUGGUUGUAACGUAGCUUUGUCCUACGGGGAGUAAAAGAACCAACUGCGUGGUCGAAUUGAAGGUACUCCGGUGAUAAGACCACGGCUAACU